GCCUGUGAAGGGUGACCCGCGAGGGCACUUGGAGGUAUCAGAAGUGAGAAUGCUGACAUGAGUAGCGACAAGGAGAGUGAGAGACUCUCCCGCCGAAAGUCCAAGGGUUCCUGCUUAAAGCUAAUCUGAGCAGGGUGAGCCGGCCCCUAAGCCGAGGCCGAAAGGCGUAGGCGAUGGGAACCAGUUUAAUAUUACUGGGCCAGAGGAUGGUGACGGAUUGAAAGCGUAGUUUGUCCUUAUCGGAUUGGACAGGCUGCCGGACGGUCCCAGGAAAUAGCCCCUCGUUAGACCGUACCCUAAACCGACACAGGUGGACUGGUAGAGAAUACCAAGGCGCUUGAGAGAACGACGUUGAAGGAACUCGGCAAAAUACCUCCGUAAGUUCGCGAGAAGGAGGCCCGGCGUUUACGCAAGUAGAUUCCGGGGGCACAAACCAGGGGGUGGCGACUGUUUACUAAAAACACAGGGCUCUGCGAAGUCGCAAGACGACGUAUAGGGUCUGACGCCUGCCCGGUGCCGGAAGGUUAA
rnacentral:rRNA from 1 species